UACGUAGGGUGCAGGCGUUAAUCGGAAUUACUGGGCGUAAAGCGUGCGCAGGCGGUCUGCUAAGAGAGAUGUGAAAUCCCCGGGCUUAACCUGGGAACUGCGUUUCUAACUGGCAGGCUAGAGUGUGGCAGAGGGGGGUGGAAUUCCACGUGUAGCAGUGAAAUGCGUAGAGAUGUGGAGGAACACCGAUGGCGAAGGCAGCCCCCUGGGCUAACACUGACGCUCAUGCACGAAAGCGUGGGAGCAAACAGG
rnacentral:rRNA from 1 species